UACUAGCUCAAUCAGUAGUACUACCUCCAAUUUGAUCGUCCGUCUUAUCUAAAAUUUUUUUAUAAUUAGCAUUUUUGUUGUUAUAAUAUGAUAAAACAUAAAUAGUACUUUACUCGUGAUUUAUGUUUUUAAUUUUUUUAAAAAAAUUUUCAAAUAAAACGAAUUGUCAAAGUUAAGCACGGAAAAUCAUGGAUGCACUUAUU
rfam:Oryza barthii chromosome 1, whole genome shotgun sequence.